rnacentral:rRNA from 1 species
CGUGUAGGUGGAUUUUCAAGUCGAAUGUGAAAACCGGCGGCUUAACUGCCGGCCUGCAUUUGAAACUGUUAAUCUUGAGUACGGAAGAGGGAAGUGGAAUUCCAGGUGUAGCGGUGACAUGCGUAGAUAUCUGGAAGAACACCGGUGGCGAAGGCGGCUUCCUGGUCCGAUACUGACACUAAGGCGCGAAAGCUAGGGGAGCAAACAGGAUUAGAUACCCUGGUAGUCC